rnacentral:rRNA from 1 species
AUUGAACGCUGGCGGCAGGCCUAACACAUGCAAGUCGAACGAGUGGCGGACGGGUGAGUAAUGUCUGGGAAACUGCCCGAUGGAGGGGGAUAACUACUGGAAAAGGUAGCUAAUACCGCAUACCAUCGGAUGUGCCCAGAUGGGAUUAGUUAGUAGGUGGGGGAAAGGCUCACCUAGGCGAAGAUCCCUAGCUGGUCUGAGAGGAUGACCAGCCACACUGGAACUGAGACACGGUCCAUACUCCGACGUGAGGCAGCAGUGGGGAAUAUUGCACAAUGGGCGCCAGCCUGAUGCAGCCAUGCCGCGUGUAUGAAGAAGGCCUUCGGGUUGUAAAGUACUUUCAGCGAGGAGGCGUUACUCGCAGAAGAAGCACCGGCUAACUCCGUGCCAGCAGCCGCGGUAAUAC